rnacentral:lncRNA from 1 species
GGGUAUAGGGUGCGAUUUACGACACAUUCACAGACAGGACGGAAACCCCUGGGUUACAGUAACGUUUCAUUGUGUACAGGUCGGGUUCUUUUAUGGUCAUGCGACUGUGGGUUGCCAUCAGAUCUUUUCUUCUUCUCUAGUAUUUUGUGAAAGAUUUCCUGUCCACUGCCUCUGAACUGACAAGAUUACCGCAGAGAAAGAGGGAGGGGAAAAAAAGAGAGAGAGAGAGAGCGAAAGACAGAGCACGAAAGAGAGCGAAAGAGAGGAUUGUUCACAGCUUUGUGGAAGUUACCUGUGAUGCUGAUGGUUAGGCCAAGGGCCCAGGUCUGACAGAAUCUGUGCAGAAGAUAUAGGUGCUGCUGUAGGCCCUCCUUGGUUGUGGACAGAAGAACCAGAUCAUCAGCAAUGUCACGACUUCCGCCGAAGUCAGUUCCUCUCCUUGUUCGGACGGCGCUCGGCGGUCGACAUCGCCGGUCUUCUAGCCAUCGCCGAUCCACUUUUCAUUUUCCAAUGGUUUUGUCUUUGUUUCCCACACACCUGGUUUUCAUUUCCCAAUUACUGGUCAUGUAUUUAACCCUCUGUUUC